rnacentral:rRNA from 1 species
UACGGAGGGUGCAAGCGUUGUUCGGAAUCACUGGGCGUAAAGCGCGUGUAGGCGGCCUCCUAAGUCUGGUGUGAAAGCCCGGGGCUCACCCCCGGAAGUGCAUUGGAUACUGGGAGGCUGGAGUACCGAAGAGGAGGGUGGAAUUCCUGGUGUAGCGGUGAAAUGCGUAGAUAUCAGGAGGAACACCGGUGGCGAAGGCGGCCCUCUGGUCGGAUACUGACGCUGAGACGCGAAAGCGUGGGGAGCAAACAGG